UGGGGAAUCUUGCACAAUGGGCGAAAGCCUGAUGCAGCAACGCCGCGUGCGGGAAGACAGCCCUAGGGUUGUAAACCGCUUUCAGCAGGGAAGAAACUGACGGUACCUGCAGAAGAAGAUGCGGCCAACUACGUGCCAGCAGCCGCGGUGACACGUAGGCAUCAAGCGUUAUCCGGAUUUAUUGGGCGUAAAGAGCUCGUAGGCGGUUCGGUAAGUCGGGUGUGAAAACUCUGGGCUCAACCCAGAGAGGCCACUCGAUACUGCUGUGACUAGAGUGCGGUAGGGGAGCGGGGAAUUCCUGGUGUAGCGGUGAAAUGCGCAGAUAUCAGGAGGAACACCAGUGGCGAAGGCGCCGCUCUGGGCCGUAACUGACGCUGAGGAGCGAAAAGCAUGGGUAGCAAACAGGAUUAGAUACCCUGGUAGUCCAUGCCGUAAACGUUGGGCACUAGGUGUGGGUCUCAACCGAACGAGAUCCGCGCCGUCGCUAACGCAUUAAGUGCCCGCCUGGGAGUACGGUCGCAAGAUU
rnacentral:rRNA from 1 species